AAGUCGUAACAAGGUUUCCGUAGGUGAACCUGCGGAAGGAUCAUUAACAAAUCAUGUUGGUGUUGAUGGGCUUAGGCCUACUCAACCCAUAUAAACCCAAACCCGCGCAGCAAUGCCGGGCAAGGUGCGCCAUUAGCCUUGAUGGUUGAUGGUGCGGUGAAGACCAACGUCUGAAAGGAUGGCGGUCCGAUCCACAUAGACGCUUGUAUGUUUGACAGAGUUAGUUGACACUUUAAAAAUGACAACUUUUAACAAUGGAUCUCUUGGCUCUU
rnacentral:misc_RNA from 1 species